CGCUGAAGAGAGGAGCUUGCUCUUCUUGGAUGAGUUGCGAACGGGCGAGUAACGCGUAGGUAACCUGCCUUGUAGCGGGGGAUAACUAUUGGAAACGAUAGCUAAUACCGCAUAACAAUGGAUGACACAUGUCAUUUAUUUGAAAGGGGCAAUUGCUCCACUACAAGAUGGACCUGCGUUGUAUUAGCUAGUAGGUGAGGUAACGGCUCACCUAGGCGACGAUACAUAGCCGACCUGAGAGGGUGAUCGGCCACACUGGGACUGAGACACGGCCCAGACUCCUACGGGAGGCAGCAGUAGGGAAUCUUCGGCAAUGGGGGCAACCCUGACCGAGCAACGCCGCGUGAGUGAAGAAGGUUUUCGGAUCGUAAAGCUCUGUUGUAAGUCAAGAACGAGUGUGAGAGUGGAAAGUUCACACUGUGACGGUAGCUUACCAGAAAGGGACGGCUAACUACGUGCCAGCAGCCGCGGUAAUACGUAGGUCCCGAGCGUUGUCCGGAUUUAUUGGGCGUAAAGCGAGCGCAGGCGGUUUGAUAAGUCUGAAGUUAAAGGCUGUGGCUCAACCAUAGUUCGCUUUGGAAACUGUCAAACUUGAGUGCAGAAGGGGAGAGUGGAAUUCCAUGUGUAGCGGUGAAAUGCGUAGAUAUAUGGAGGAACACCGGUGGCGAAAGCGGCUCUCUGGUCUGUAACUGACGCUGAGGCUCGAAAGCGUGGGGAG
rnacentral:rRNA from 1 species